CAAAACUCUGCAAGAGACGAAAUUGAAUUAUUCGAGAAAAAAAAAAGCAGAGCAAAAGCCAAAAUGUACCCUUCAAUCCCCCAUUCAAAUAACCCUAAAUCUCUCACUCACUCUCUCAUUUCUCUCAAUGAAGUGAACACGAAUAUGUUGAAGAUUUGAAGAAUUCCACUGAAUAUCAGAAUAUUGCCAGCGAUAGUUUAGCCAUUGUAUCUAAACUGCUCGAAAUACUUGGAGAUUUUGGGUUUCCGAUUCAUAGAAAUCUUUUGGGGGCGGUGGAUUCUGGGUUUUCCGGUUGGGUUCCAGCGGGUGACCGGCGGCUUCUUCAGGAGGCGAUUCCGAAGCUGGAUUUGACAGUGGCAAAAGACGGCGACAAUGUCAAUAUUAUAAAAUAGGCAAUGGCAAGGAUUCCAAAAAAGAGCAAAACAAGAUUUGUUAUAUAUAUUAAAGCUGGUGAGUAUGUAAAGAAUGCGAUUUUGGAUAAAUCUUUGUGGAAUGUGAUGUGGCGAUGGAAAGAUGGCCACCAUAAUUUCCAGCAGCUUGAAUUUUGUGGACGGUAACCCAACUUUCUUCACAGCCACAUUUGGUAAUUUUUUUUUUACACUUCUAAUAUAAUAAACUUUUUUGCUAUUGAUUUUUUUUUCACUCUUAAAAAUUAUUAAUUCCUCGAUUAUUUGUUUGGUCACUUCAAUUCUAAUUUGAGAUCAUCCCCAUCUAUAAAGAAAUACAUUAUUUGGCUCACCUAUCUAACAAUUAAAAUAAAUAAUCUUGGUGUGUUUAAUGUUAAAAUUAGUAAUCUUGAUUUGUUAAGGUUAAGGGUAGAAUCUCUCGGCCGAAAACUGGCAUGUACAUACUCACUGGUCGGUGAGGAGGAGCGGUGUGUGUGUGUGUGUGUGUGUUUCCUAUAAUUUCUAAGUCAUAAUGGUUGUGGCCAAACUUGGGGAAAUGAUGGAAAAGAAGAAUAAGUUAAUUGAAAAUGACAAAAGUAAAAUAAUUUUAGUUGCAUCAUGAGUCUAUACUCUGCACCUUAAAAGUGACCAUGUCUUUGUCGUUUUGGUAAUACAUGGAGUGAUUUUGUUUGUACCAUCGAAGAAUGGAAGAGGGGUCCCUUUGAAAGUUGUGUUGUUAGUGCUAUAAGAAUGGACGGUUCUCAAUUUUAAAGUGAUUAUCAUGUGUUGUAACUUUUAAAGAUGUACCUAUUAUUAAAAAUUGUGCAUAUGUAAGAUUUUAAUAGAAAAAAAAAAUCUCACCAAUAUGUGAGAAAAUAUGUUGAGUAUGAGAUUUAAACUACAUACAUGUAAUUUUGUCUAACCAUUUAAUCUUUUAGACCAUAAUUUAGGAAACCCCUAGAUAAUAUAAUCAAUGAUUGAAACAUGUCAGACCAUAAUUUAGGAAACCCUUGGGUUUAAGCCCACUCUUACAUCGGCUGAGGCCUCAAAACAUGGUGUACAGUUCCUCAUUGAUGGAGCUUCUUGGUUGCCUAUGCAAAUGUGGUGUUUGAGUCAACCUAAAGAAUGGGAAUCUGAUGAAUGCGGAAUGCCUUUUGUGACAUUUUUUUUUCUAAUUUUAAUUUCUUUUACAUUAAUUUUGCUAUACAUUUGUGAGUUUAAUAUAAAAGUUGAUCAGUUAUAUAUAAUUCAAUGUUUAUAGAUAAUUUUUAUAUUUUUUGAGAUCGAGUCGUGAUGUAGUAAUAUAUUUGUUUAUUUAUUGCUUUUUCAUUAUAAAAUGAACUGGUAAAAAAACUUCAUAGAGUUCACUCAAAAUAUAUAAGGAAUAAAAGUUUGUUUUUAUUUUUGUUUUUGUUCUUGUUUUUGUUGAGUGUUCUCUAAAAUUUUAAUGAGUAAUAAAACACUCAUUAUCGACACGAGGUUUUAGCCAAUUGAGCAAUAAGAAAAAAAAUUCUUUUCUUUAUUUCAAAGUAAGUCAGAAAAUUGUAAAUAAUUGAACUGAAAAAGAAUACUUCAUCUUUAAAAGAAAAUGUUUGUAUUCUCUUCUUUGAGUUGCAUAGCGAUAAAGUCGUAUAUGUUAAUUCGAUUUGAUUGAUAUCUUUUGACUAUAUCAUUGAAACAUAUAUUUGUUUAUAUGUUGAUGGGUCUAUUCCUUCACUUCCAACCAUUGAUGUUGGAGUUUAAUUGUAAAAAGUAUUGGUUAGAAUUGGUUCAUUCGUAUGUCAUGUGGUUGUUGAAAUAUAAUGGUGUUGAGUGCAAAACACUUUUAGACACUAAAGGAAUAAGUAAUGGAGGUUCAUUCAUAUGUCAUGGAGGUUCGGAAUACCACAUGCCUCUAGCAGGUGGAUAAAGGAAUAAGUAAAACUUUUUGCUUGUUAUUUUACUUGUGACAUUUCAUUUUAUCAUGGUUGAAGUUAUAUAUUGUUUUGACAUUGGACCUUUUCUUCAUGUGACAAAAUUCUUUAUAAACAGCCUUUUCCAAGAAGUAAUAUUUCUUCUUUAUUACAAAUCGGGCUACUAAUUCUAUGGAUUUCAUUUAUAGUUUUGAAGAGAAUUCUUAAUCCGCAUUUCCUGACUAAUGGCACUGUAAUGAAAUGUCCUCUUGGGAUUUGUAUAUUGGUCUUUUAUAAUAGGUAUACCUGAAUUGAAGUAUGGAGAGUUUGUCGAGUUUAUUGUUUCGGUAAGACCAGUAUGUGUUGCUUAUCUACGUUGAUAUAUAUCUGCAUAAAAUCCCUAGACACUUGACAGCAUACUUGCGAUUUCCAUGUUUCGUUUUGCUCAAAUAUGAAGUUAAGUAGCUCUUGAAUAAUACCUAUUUGCUUAGAGGUCAAAAGUAGAUUUCCCGACAUUUCAUCUGUCGAUAGUUCACUUCAGUAGUCAUUGAACCGUCGUUCUCUACAGUUAGCCUCAGUAAUUCUCGACAGAUGAACUGUCGGGAACGACAGUUCCUUUCCUCAGCACAUAACUAUUCCACAUGUCCAUCUCACCUCAUCCGAACAUUGCAUGUGUGUUUCGCAUUAACAUGUAUGAAAUACUAUGAUGUCGAGAUUUUUUUUAUUUGUCAUUGUAACAUGUAUAAAAUACUAUGAUUCGCAUUUUAUGUUAUACAUUGCUUCACUUUGCGUUGUAGUUCCUCCAUUAUGAUUGAUUAACUCAUUUUUCAUUGGCAUGAGGCACGUUGCUUACGUUAACACCCGUGUCUUGCAAGUGGAAGUAAACCAUUGAAUUGUCAAAGGAAGAUAACCGUUACGAAGGUACAAUGGGGACUGCAUUACUUUGUCCAGGGAGAUACGUGUUAGAGCUUCGCAUGGAAGAACGUUCUGUUUUCCCUUAAUGUGUAAUAGUUACGUUACUUUUUUAACUUACUUUUUGUGAUAUUGAUUACUGCGAAUUGUGUAAGAGUAUCAUAAUUUUGAAGGAUGUAACAACGGUUAUGUAAAAAUGGUCGACUCAUAUGUCAAGCACGAAAAAAUAUUUUGAUAGAUGAUUUUAUAAGUUUGUCAUUUCUCAUGGAUUCGUUAUAUUCGAUUAAAGGACAAC
rnacentral:lncRNA from 1 species